AUCAGACACCCCUGCAGUCUGAACCCCCUGAGGGAGCCGUUCUCCAAGAGGCAGUGUGGAGUCCUGCUCAGUGAGGUCUUCCUAGUCUGCCACCCGGUGGUGGAUGUGACAUGGUUCUAUAUGAACUGUCUGGCUGAUACGUGCGGCUGUAGUCGUGGUGGGGACUGUGAGUGUUUCUGUACCAGCGUAGCAGCCUACGCCCACCGAUGCUGUCACCAGGGUGUCACCGUGGACUGGCGAUCCCCGUCGAUCUGCCCCUACGAUUGUGAAUACUACAACAAAG